AGCAUGGUCUUAGCUUGCUAAGGCUGAUGGCGACCGGCGCACGGGUGAGUAACGCGUAUGCAACCUGCCUGAUACCGGGGUAUAGCCCAUGGAAACGUGGAUUAACACCCCAUAGUACUUUUAUCCUGCAUGGGAUGUGAGUUAAAUGUUCAAGGUAUCGGAUGGGCAUGCGUCCUAUUAGUUAGUUGGCGGGGUAACAGCCCACCAAGACGAUGAUAGGUAGGGGUUCUGAGAGGAAGGUCCCCCACAUUGGAACUGAGACACGGUCCAAACUCC
rnacentral:rRNA from 1 species